CGGACAGUUACAGCUUUGAGACUAGAGCACUAGAUGGGACGUAAGUGACCAUAACAUACGGCAUUUGGCCGUUUCAAUGUGGGUAGUCGUUUGGAUGGUAGACGACAAGUCGUCAACGCACCGUUAGUGUUACGCCAGUGCUACUUGAGCAUCAGCAAGUCUACAGGGCGUCAUACUCGUUGACAUUACCGACGACGCCUCGAAUACGGGAAACCGUUUGCACCGGUAUACGGCUGGUCACGUAAACGUCACCAGUACGUUUGAAUUCCGGGCAACGUCUGCUCAGCGUUUGUCAACGUUCAACUUCCGGACAUCGUCUGCUUGAGUAUCUACAGACUACUUCCGGGCUCGAUACAGCUCGGGUAACUGCAGUCUUCUUCCGGGCAUAGUCUGCUCGGGUAUCUACAGUCUACUUCCGGGCUUGAUACAUCUCGGGUUAUCUGCACUCUACUUUUGGGCUUGAUACAGCUCGAAGUUUGCUACGUCGCAGAACAACAACAACGGUACUCAGUUCCGGUUCUGGUCAUUGACGGCUGGACAUAGGUUCAGGUCGUGACACUAAAUAGUGCUCCACCACUAUAUUUAACAUCUACAGUUGAACUACAUUAACUUUGAUACUUUGUUGGUUUUUUUUUGAUAGUCAUAUCAUAUUGUAAAUAGUUUAUUUCAAUGUUGUAAAUAUAUUUAUUUAUUGUUCGUGUGUAGUUGUAUCUGGUUCUGGAGGGGUUAUUGCACUGAGGUGUCAUUGCUUCUGCAAUCCUGACGGUUGCAUCAACACUUUUACGAUUGUUUACAUUGCUACAGGAUUUCUUGUGAUUAUUAGCUUUAUUCUAAGUUAACAUUGAUAUUACUUUAAUUAUGUGUGUGUUUCAAUUUCAAAUAUUGUAUACUUUUUAAAGCAUAUUUUCUUUCUUUAAAAAUUUAGACGCGAAUAAAUUGUUCUACUUCUGAACUCUAGUGCAUUACGAUUUUAGACGACAUAAGCAAUUAUUUUUUUAAACGAAUACAAUUUCAUUUCAAAAUUUACAUUUCGAAUUUACUUAAAUACAUAAAAACUAUAAAAACUCGUUCAAUUAAUUAAUGAAUAAACGAUUAAAACGAAUUGAAAUACCAAGUGUCCCACUCAGCGAACAUCUUAUUGCUUAUUAUUUAGCUAUCAAUUUGACGCAACUUAUUAUUGCCGCUAGCAUAGAAAAGUGGUUCGUACGGUCGACUUCAACGUUGGCGGUUUGCACUGAAUUACCGAUUUAUAAAAAUAGACACAAUUCACAAAUAUAAUCGCAACUUUAUUUAGGAAUGCAAUUAGCAAACAGUAACAGUCACACAUGAAUCACAAAUAAGUAUGUAACACCUGAUGGCUAUUUUAUUUUAAUUUCUUGCUUAAUGAUUCUGGCAAGUGUAUGCAACAAUAACAUCAGCGCCGUCGUGUCGAUACAUAUGUAGCCAGAUACUUACAAUUAAUUUCAUGCGAGGUUUCAUACGAGACACAACACAUUACCAAUUUAUUUGUGGCAAGUGUAAUCAACCAGCGUACAGCCUAACAUCACAACACGGAGAUGUCGCAAAAUGAGGUACAAAACAGUCCUCUUUCAAUUCAAUAUAAUAUAAAAUUUAUAUCAGCAAGUCAAUGACGGUAAGUUGAUUUCUUUUUCCUAGUUCUCUAUUCCUUAUUCCAAUAAAAUAAUAUCAAAUUCAGCGCCGUUUAAUGUUGUUGUUAUUUUGCCAGCCUGCAUUGUAUUUUGAUAUUUAUAACGUUAUUAAAAGCAUCUUUAAUAACCACACCAGCAUACGUUCUUUAAAACAUACAUUAUACUAUACUCGCUGCAUAACAUUUCUACAUAUUUGCCUUAAAAACGGUCGAAAAUAGUAUAUUCAAAGAAUUAUUUCGUAUAAAUAAAUUGCAUUGAUGAGAUGUAAAUUAAAAGUUUUGGUGCAAGAUGUUAUUGUCUGUCAACAUUAAACAUAUUUUCAUAAUUGCGAAAAUAUGAUCAUACUAGUAAGUUAAUUAUUGUUAAUUCUUGGUAUUACAUGUUUGUUUUGGAUAAUUUAUUUAAAAUAAACGGAUCUGGUUUGCAAUUUCGUGAACUGUGACAGAAUUCGCACUCAUCGACGUGCUUAAUUUUUAUUUCGUGUUUAUGCAAAUUAAAUUGUAUAAAAACACGGUUGUAGUUUGUACAAGCUCGUCUCUUUUGAGGACAUAUGAUGUACUUAUGUUGACGAUAACAGUUCAUUGUCGCCACUUGCACAGUGGCAGUGUUUCACUGUUAGAAUCGUUAUCGCUGUAUUGUAAUUAAACGACAAUGAAGGGACUGUUGAGAAAAUUAUUGGUUUGAUUGUCACUGGUAUUCUCAACUAUUCCAAGACCUAAGUAUAUCUUUUACGGUGUGAAAUUGUUGUGGGAUUAUUAUCUCAAUUUCAAUCAAAAUACGUAUCUCAAAUUACAUAUGAGCAAAAACCAUGAAGUUUAAAACGUUUUUUUUUAAUCAUCUGUUCCUGAAUACCAUGUAAGACAAAUAACUCUAGUGGAAAGGCCAAGAUCACAACCUGAAUUUACUGAUUAAAAGAAUCAAUAUUUAGCAAUUAUGUCACUAUGCAUCAAGGUAUUCCGUAAUAAUUUUCUUCAAUUGUUCUCCUUUAUCAGACUGUGUGACAUGAUUGUUUUCAUGAAAUGAUCCACAUGCGAGAUCCAUGUCCCCUUGGUCAAGGUCAAUUAACAUCAAUUCUGUUGCUCACCACCUUUCAAUAGCUGAGUUGUCACCAUUUUUUCAUUAAACUUGUAUUGUUUAAACCUAGUUUAGUUGAUUGCAUGUGGCCCUGGGGGCGCAUAUAUACUGAUAAACGUUCUAUAAUAACAGGACGUUUUGGGAGGACGCUUAUGUAAUAUAACGAACCAUAUACAAUUUGUGAUCAUAGAAAUAAACUUUGUUUUCGAACAUCCAACUUUACAAUAUUUAUAAGACAUGUAUUUUACAACAGUUUUUAAUCUGUGACAUAUAACUGAACCUUUAUAUCGCAGAUAUUUAAGGUAAACAUAAGUCAAUUUCUUAGAGUAUACAAGUUGUCAUAUUUGUUCUUGUCCAUAAGAAAACGCGUUUUCCCCAACCGAUAUUAAAACUUUUAAACACACAUUUUUGGACGAUACUAACACACUUUCUUUUUUUAGAAUAUUGAACUUAACUUAAUUAGAAAGAAAGUAAUUUGAUGCAUCAAUGCUAUGCACUUUAUUGUUGUUGUUCUUUUAUCCGAAUUCUGAGUGUUUACCUCGUUUUACGUGAACCACACCGUGUUAAUCUGCUUCUUUAAACUAUAUAAUAUUCUAAUUGAAAACUGAGCAAGCAUAUCAAAAAUAAAUUUAUAUAUAGGCAUGCCUAACUCUGCUACCGAGGCGUAUGUGAUGAGCUGUGACCGAAUGCGUCACAUACAUGUAAGGAAGUUUAUCAGUUUAAAGUUAUAUGAAUAAACUAUAUAAACAUCAAUUGAGUCUCUUUAAUAUUUCAAUGGUUAUGUAUUUAUUUUUUGAACAUAUGGGACAACUCCUAAUGAUAUUUAUUAUAGGAAUGACGCAGUUAUCCCCUUUCAAAUACAAUACUAUUUAUUAUAGAACAGUUUACUUGUGCUUGUUUUACUUAAGUUUAGUGUUUAUCGAUGCUUAGUUGUAUUUCAUUAGGUCUACCAAAUUGUUCUCUUUUAAUUUUGUAUCUUUUAUUAAAUUGUCAUUGUUGUAAUUUCAAAAAAAACUUCGUCGUCUGGGAUUAAUUAAUAAUAAUAUGUUAAUAUCCAGAACCCAGUCUUAGCAGAGGUCUACGGGUGAACGGAGCUCGUAGGAACUGGCUCUGGCUGUGAAUGCUUAUGUCAACUCUUUAGAUAUUGAUAUGUUUUGCAACAAGCCAAAAUGAUUACACAUGAUCUAUUAAAUUAUAUGUGUUUAUUAAAAGUACAAAAAUUA